UUUCAAGAUUCUAAGAGCAAACGGUGGAUGCCUUGGCAUCUGGAGCCGAAGAAGGACGUAUAAAUCUGCGAUAAGCCUCGGGGAGCUGAUAAUAGAGCUUUGAUCCGAGGAUCUCCGAAUGGGGAAACCCCGCCAGGCCCUUUGGGUGACCUGGUGACUCCCGCCUGAAUAUAUAGGGCGGGUAGAGGGAACGUGGGGAAGUGAAACAUCUCAGUACCCACAGGAAGAGAAAGCAAAAGCGAUUCCGUUAGUAGUGGCGAGCGAAACCGGAAGAGGCCAAACCGAUCAUGUGUGAUAUCCGGUAGGAGUUGCAUGGUCGGGGUUGCGGGACUUUCCGUACAGUUCUACCGAGCUGUGAGGGCAAUGAGCGCGAUAUAGACGAAUGGUCUUGAAAGGCCAGUCAUAGAGGGUGCGAACCCCGUAGUCGAAAUGUCGUCGCCUGUCCGGAGAGUAUCCCAAGUAGCACGGGGCCCGAGAAAUCCCGUGUGAAUCUGUCAGGACCACCUGAUAAGCCUAAAUACUCCCAGAUGACCGAUAGCGGACAAGUACCGUGAGGGAAAGGUGAAAAGUACCCCGGGAGGGGAGUGAAAUAGUACCUGAAACCGUUUGCUUACAAACCGUUGGAGCACCCNNNNNNNNNNNNNNNNNNNNNNNNNNNNNNNNNNNNNNNNNNNNNNNNNNNNNNNNNNNNNNNNNNNNNNNNNNNNNNNNNNNNNNNNNNNNNNNNNNNNAAUCCAGUAAUGCUAAGUGUCUGAAUCCUUGAUUCGAUCCCUUCGGGGUGACGGUCUUGGCCUAGCACACGACCCUACGCUGGGGCGUUUAGCGUAUUAACAGGUGUGACGCAGGAAGGUAGCUGAGCCGGGCGAUGGUUGUCCCGGUCUAAGGAUGUAGGGCAGAAGAUAGGCAAAUCCGUCUUCUAUGUAGCCUGAGACCCGAUGGGUAGUCCUCACGGACGAAAUCAGUGAUCCUAUGCUGCCGAGAAAAGCAUCGACGCGAGGUUCCAAUCGCCCGUACCCCAAACCGACUCAGGUGGUCAGGUAGAGAAUACUAAGGAGAUCGAGAGAAUCGUGGUUAAGGAACUCGGCAAAAUGCCCCCGUAACUUCGGGAGAAGGGGGGCCUGAGGCGUGUAGGGAUUUACUCCUGAAGCGUUUGAAGGCCGCAGAGACCAGUGGGAAGCGACUGUUUACUAAAAACACAGGUCCGUGCUAAGUCGCAAGACGAUGUAUACGGACUGACGCCUGCCCGGUGCUGGAAGGUUAAGAGGAACGGUUAGUCCGCAAGGGCGAAGCUGAGAAUUUAAGCCCCAGUAAACGGCGGUGGUAACUAUAACCAUCCUAAGGUAGCGAAAUUCCUUGUCGGGUAAGUUCCGACCUGCACGAAUGGCGUAACGACUUCCCAGCUGUCUCAACCGCGAACUCGGCGAAAUUGCACUACGAGUAAAGAUGCUCGUUACGCGCAGCAGGACGGAAAGACCCCGUGACCUUUACUACAGCUUGGUAUUGGUGUUCGGUGUGGCUUGUGUAGGAUAGGUGGGAGACUGUGAAGCUCGGACGCUAGUUCGGGUGGAGUCAUUGUUGAAAUACCACUCUGGUCACUCUGGAUAUCUAACUUCGAACCGUAAUCCGGUUCAGGGACAGUGCCUGGUGGGUAGUUUAACUGGGGCGGUUGCCUCCUAAAGAGUAACGGAGGCGCCCAAAGGUUCCCUCAACCUGGUUGGUAAUCAGGUGUCGAGUGUAAGUGCACAAGGGAGCUUGACUGUGAGACUGACAAGUCGAGCAGGGACGAAAGUCGGGACUAGUGAUCCGGCAGUGGCUUGUGGAAGCGCUGUCGCUCAACGGAUAAAAGGUACCUCGGGGAUAACAGGCUGAUCUUGCCCAAGAGUCCAUAUCGACGGCAUGGUUUGGCACCUCGAUGUCGGCUCGUCGCAUCCUGGGGCUGGAGUAGGUCCCAAGGGUUGGGCUGUUCGCCCAUUAAAGCGGUACGCGAGCUGGGUUUAGAACGUCGUGAGACAGUUCGGUCCCUAUCCGCUGCGCGCGUAGGAAAUUUGAGAAGAUCUAUCCCUAGUACGAGAGGACCGGGAUGGACGAACCUCUGGUGUGUCAGUUGUUCCGCCAGGAGCACCGCUGAUUAGCUACGUUCGGAACGGAUAACCGCUGAAAGCAUCUAAGCGGGAAGCCGGCUUCGAGAUGAGAUUUCCAUCCCUUUUAGGGUGAAGGCUCCCGGCUAGACUACCGGGUUGAUAGGCAGGAUGUGGAAGCGAGGACUAAAGACUCGUGGAGCUGACCUGUACUAAUAAGCCGAUAUCUUGAAAAC
rnacentral:rRNA from 1 species